GAUGAAGAACGUAGUGAAAUGCGAUAAGUAGUGUGAAUUGCAGAAUUCAGUGAAUCAUCGAAUCUUUGAACGCACAUUGCGCCCCUUGGUAUUCCAUGGGGCAUGCCUGUUCGAGCGUCAUUUGUACCUUCAAGCUCUGCUUGGUGUCGGGUGUUUGUCUCGCCUCUGCGUGUAGACUCGCCUCAAAAUAAUUGGCAGCCGGCGUAUUGAUUUCGGAGCGCAGUACAUCUCGCGCUUUGCACUCAUAACGACGACGUCCAAAAGUACAUUUUUACACUCUUGACCUCGGAUCAGGUAGGGAUACCCGCUGAACUUAAGCAUAUCAAUAAGCGGAGGA
rnacentral:misc_RNA from 1 species